rnacentral:rRNA from 1 species
UACGGAGGGGGCUAGCGUUGUUCGGAAUUACUGGGCGUAAAGCGCACGUAGGCGGCUUUGUAAGUUAGAGGUGAAAGCCCGGGGCUCAACCCCCGGAAUAGCCUUUAAGACUGCAUCGCUUGAACACGGGAGAGGUGAGUGGAAUUCCGAGUGUAGAGGUGAAAUUCGUAGAUAUUCGGAAGAACACCAGUGGCGAAGGCGGCUCGCUGGGGACGGUACUGACGCUGAGGCGCGAAAGCGUGGGGAGCGAACAGG